GUUCGUAAGAACAGGGUAUGACGGAGCGGCGAACGGGUGAGUAACACGUGAGCAACCUGCCCCACAGACCGGGAUAGCCCAAGGAAACUUGGAUUAAUACCGGAUGUCUUCGAACGACCUCAUGGUCGAUCGAGGAAAUGCCUUUGUGCUGUGGGAUGGGCUCGCGGCUUAUCAGCUAGUUGGUGGGGUAAAGGCCUACCAAGGCGUCGACGAGUAGCUGGUCUGAGAGGACGAUCAGCCACACUGGAACUGAGACACGGUCCAGACUCCUACGGGAGGCAGCAGCAGGGAAUCUUGCGCAAUGGGCGAAAGCCUGACGCAGCAACGCCGCGUGGGGGAUGAAGGCCUUCGGGUUGUAAACCCCUUUCAGGAGGGAAGAAAUUGACGGUACCUCCAGAAGAAGGACCGGCCAACUACGUGCCAGCAGCCGCGGUAAUACGUAGGGUCCUAGCGUUAUCCGGAAUCAUUGGGCGUAAAGAGCUCGUAGGCGGUUCAGCAAGUCGGCUGUGAAAGUCCGAGGCUUAACCUCGGAAUUGCAGUCGAUACUGCUGUGACUCGAGUCCGGUAGAGGAGAAUGGAAUUCUCGGUGUAGCGGUGAAAUGUGCAGAUAUCGAGAGGAACACCAGUAGCGAAGGCGGUUCUCUGGGCCGGCACUGACGCUGAGGAGCGAAAGCGUGGGGAGCAAACAGGAUUAGAUACCCUGGUAGUCCACGCUGUAAACGUUGG
rnacentral:rRNA from 1 species